rnacentral:tRNA from 1 species
GGCAAGAUGACUGAAAAAGUAGGGGAUUGUAAAUCCCUUAAUGCAGGCGAAACCCCUGCUCUUCGCCA